rnacentral:rRNA from 1 species
UAGGGAAUCUUCGGCAAUGGACGAAAGUCUGACCGAGCAACGCCGCGUGAGUGAAGAAGGUUUUCGGAUCGUAAAACUCUGUUGUUAGAGAAGAACAAGGAUGAGAGUAACUGUUCAUCCCUUGACGGUAUCUAACCAGAAAGCCACGGCUAACUACGUGCCAGCAGCCGCAGUAAUACGUAGGUGGCAAGCGUUGUCCGGAUUUAUUGGGCGUAAAGCGAGCGCAGGCGGUUUCUUAAGUCUGAUGUGAAAGCCCCCGGCUCAACCGGGGAGGGUCAUUGGAAACUGGGAGACUUGAGUGCAGAGGAGGAGAGUGGAAUUCCAUGUGUAGCGGUGAAAUGCGUAGAUAUAUGGAGGAACACCAGUGGCGAAGGCGGCUCACUGGUCUGUAACUGACGCUGAGGCUCGAAAGCGUGGGGAGCAAACAG